rnacentral:lncRNA from 1 species
UAAAGACUGAAGUUCGUCCCUUCGGGGACAUCCGAUAAAAUUGGAACGAUACAGAGAAGAUUAGCAUGGCCCCUGCGCAAGGAUGACACGCAUAAAUCGAGAAAUGGUCCAAAUUUUUUUCGCCCUUUUUCCGCCAAAUUUCGAAUAUUUUUUUUUUUCGGUUUUGUUUUGUUUUGUUUUUUUUUUCUGGCGCUCUCCAUGGUGUUUACCACAAUCUCUACGGCCAAAGGCGUUGUUCAAUGCAGUUGCAGAGGCUUGAGAAGCUAUGAGCAUUUUGCAUUUGAAGUCUUCGAUGGUUCGGUGGCUUAGUCUUUGAUCUUCCAGGUAUGAGUAACAGUUUCAAUUCAAUCUACUUUUUUUUAAUUUAAAAGCAUAUAUGUCCAAUAUUUGACGAUUCAGUGACUGAUUUUUUAGUAUGGGAUCUUGUGUUUCCAAUUUAAUCCAUGUAAAAAAGCUCGCCUACUAGCUGUUUGAUAAAAUGACUCUGUUACCAUGACCCUUAUAAAAUUGUUUAAAUAUGCAUUUCAAAUGAUUCUUUGAUAAUCCCUUACACUUGUGAGGAGCUGCUCCACUUUUUUUAUUUAGUCGAGUCAAUGUUCACAACAUAGGAUGAAUAAACCCAACAUAGGGCAGAUUAGAAUACUAUUUUUGAUGGGUCGUGACGAUUACCAAUUUGGAAUUGCAGAAUGGGAGUUUGAUUGUGCAGAAGUGGAGAUUUGGGAGCUGGCUUGAUGGGAUUGAUUAACGGUAUGUGAAGUUUUGCUUUUGGUUGAACGUAUUUUUGGUUGAUUUUAAUUGGUUUUGUGCUUUGUGGACUGAGUGUGUUUCGUUUGAAUUUUUACUCGAAGAGCCUGAACCUGACUCACUGUUGUCAAGCUAACACAUUCGGAUAUUCCCGAGGAAGACAGGUUAGUUUUGAUUUGAGCUUUUAAUUAAUGGGUUCUUCUCAGUUUAUAGUUUCAUUGAUUGGGAUUCCGUGAGUUUUAUUGUUUUCUUAUAUGCAUUGCUGAUUGGUUUGAUUUGGUGACUUUGGUAAUGUAGAUAUUGGAAUGCGAAUGUGGUGGAGAAUACAGAAAGAGGUUGGCGGGAUCUUAUUUUCCAGAGGGUACGGGCAGUUUUUGGUUUUGGAAUUUGAGAUACUUGGGUAGGAUUUUGAUGAUUUUGGAUGCAUAAUUCAGAUCUAAUGUUUCCUAUCAAAACAAUUUGCCGAGUCUAAGGUUAUAAUGUUUUGCAAUGUCAUUGAUGGACAGGUUGUCUUUAAAAUGUGCUGUCAGUCCUGUCACGAACUCAGUAACUAAAAAUCAUUGUGGCAAUUGGUGAAAAUGAGAAAGAGUUGUGUCUGAUUUGUCUCGUUGGAUUGAUUUCACGUACUUUUAGUAGUUUUGUGUAGUUUUUUUAAAAUUUAUUAUUAUUUAUUAUAUCUUAAGAAUUCACUUUUCAUCACUGCGAGAAAAAAAAAAGGGUUUGUUUCUCAAUGCCCUGCAUUGGAGUUUCUUCUGUCAUCUAAAUAGGUGCUACUGCAUUGGAGUAUGUUCUUAACUUGUUUCAUUGAUGUUAGCAAAUGAACAUAUAUAUAAUUGUUAUCUUGUUUAUUACUUCGUAGCUGUAAAAUCACAAUUAGUAAUUGGGAAAGAGUAUUAGAGGGAGGAAUACAUUA